rnacentral:tRNA from 5 species
GCCUCAAUAGCUCAGUUGGUUAGAGCAUCUGACUGUUAAUCAGGGGGUCGUAGGUUCGAGUCCUACUUGAGGCGCCA